UGGGGAAUUUUGGACAAUGGGCGAAAGCCUGAUCCAGCAAUGCCGCGUGUGUGAAGAAGGCCUUCGGGUUGUAAAGCACUUUUGUCCGGAAAGAAAUCCUUGGCUCUAAUACAGUCGGGGGAUGACGGUACCGGAAGAAUAAGCACCGGCUAACUACGUGCCAGCAGCCGCGGUAAUACGUAGGGUGCAAGCGUUAAUCGGAAUUACUGGGCGUAAAGCGUGCGCAGGCGGUUUGCUAAGACCGAUGUGAAAUCCCCGGGCUCAACCUGGGAACUGCAUUGGUGACUGGCAGGCUAGAGUAUGGCAGAGGGGGGUAGAAUUCCACGCGUAGCAGUGAAAUGCGUAGAGAUGUGGAGGAAUACCGAUGGCGGAGGCAGCCCCCUGGGCCAAUACUGACGCUCACGCACGAAAGCGUGGGGAGCAAACAGGAUUAGAUACCCUGGUAGUCCACGCCCUAAACGAUGUCAACUAGUUGUUGGGGAUUCAUUUCCUUAGUAACGUAGCUAACGCGUGAAGUUGACCGCCUGGGGAGUACGGUCGCAAGAUUAAAACUCAAAUGAAUUGACGGGGUCAUAGCUG
rnacentral:rRNA from 1 species